CGGUGAAUACGUUCCCGGACCUUGCACACACCGCCCGUCAAGCCAUGGAAGCUGGGUGUACCUAAAGUCGGUAACCGUAAGGAGACCGCCUAGGGUAAAACUAGUGACUGGGGCU
rnacentral:rRNA from 1 species